UCUAAUACCGGAUACGACCCGCCACCUCAUGGUGGAGGGUGGAAAGUUUUUCGGUCAGGGAUGGGCUCGCGGCCUAUCAGCUUGUUGGUGGGGUAACGGCCUACCAAGGCGAUUACGGG
rnacentral:rRNA from 1 species